AAGAUCAUACUUCACAGGAUCAUUUCUGUAGUAUAUCUUCGGAUCUGCUCUGCGAAAUGCUGAGUUGAUGCAGCCACGAUGACGAGACAUAGCUCUCUUCCUUGAGCGUGAGAACGACUUGCAGUUUGAUUAAAGUCAAAUUGUUAGUCAUCGAUGAUCGUUCACUUUCCUUACUCAGUAGGGAGAGCCAUGGGAAGUAGAGCUUUCUGAGUGGU